GAAGAAGAUUAACUUCCGGUAUGGACUUUGCGGCGCCCGCCGUCUUGUCUGCAGCUGGGUCCCUCUUGCAAAUAGAGGGAGUCAUGGAGGAGGAUUUCGAAAAGUUUUUGCGGUCUAGAGAGGUCCCUCAAGCUGCCAUCAUGCACAUGAAAAGAGACAAGGUUGACAAGGCAGUAAUUUCCAUUAUGACUGAUGAGCAAAUGGCCAAAUAUAUCACUUCAUAUGGUGACAGGGUAGCUGCCCUUUCCUUCUGUCAACAAACAAUGUGCAACCUUGACAAAGAGACUCUUAUACAAAGAUUAAGAGAUAAAAUAGAAACUCGGAAAAUGAGAUCAAGGACAAAAGGUGUGCUGUGUGGUACAUUAGGUGUGCUCCAAAAGCCAGGUGAGGGGAUGGCAAGACAGAGAAAUACUGCAGGAGAAAAGACUUCCAGGAAGAUUGAAAUUGGAUGGCUUCAUUUUCACAGUAAUGAAUACCAUCAAGUGAGGACCAAAAAUGGCGGAGGAACAAGACAUGCAACUGUGGAAAAAACAACAACUGUUGCUCAGAUUUUGGAGCUAGGAAAGGAGCUAUUUUUCCCAAAUGGGCACUCAACCAAAGGGCAAGCUGACGACUUUACCUUUGAGGUCUGUGAUUUUAAAAGAAAGCAUAUUCCUUUUGAUGAGUCUGUUGGCAGAUUGUAUGAACAAACCAAACUGAAGCUGCUUAGAUUUUAUAUUUGCACAAAAGACUAAGGACUUUCAACAGAUCAGUCUUCAUCUGAAGUGGAUGAAUGUAGUGAAGAUUUUUUAUCUGAGGAUUUAUCUGUCAGCAUCACUGAGGGAGCAGAUUCACAGUUGACUGAGGAUGGAUCUCACCUUGAUGCAGAUGAUUCGAUUACAGAUCUACUGGAUCAUGGACACUCAUCUGACAGUGACAUAAACGAACAGAAUAUGCAUUUCCAGUUGCAACCAAGCUCCAAAAAACAAAGAGCAGCUUCUGAGACUGUGACAGCACAAGGUCCAGGAAAAUCACAUCCCUCUCAUUCAACCCCAACAGACAUUAAAAAAACUCACAUUGGCCAGGGGCAGGACACCAACACAAGUGAUCAUGAUGAAGUCUGGAAUCAUCUCCAGCCUUUUAAUGAUUUCCCUGACUCCUGCUUUGAAAUUAUUGACCUGACCAGAGCAGUCCCUAAUGCCUCUCCACAAACAGAGCCUGACCAC